CCUCCCUCUCCUCCACCCAUCCAGGGGGCGGGGCCAGAGGUCAAGGCUAGUGGGUGGGACUGGGGAGGGAGAGAGGGGUUGAGUAGUCCCUUAGCAAGCCCUCAUUUCACCAGGCCCCCGGCUUGGGGUGCCUUCCUUCCCCAUGGCGGGACACCUGGCUUCGGAUUUCGCCUUCUCGCCCCCUCCAGGCGGUGGAGGUGAUGGGCCAGGGGGGCCGGAGCCGGGCUGGGUUGAUCCUCGGACCUGGCUAAGCUUCCAAGGCCCUCCUGGAGGGCCAGGAAUCGGGCCGGGGGUUGGGCCAGGCUCUGAGGUGUGGGGGAUUCCCCCGUGCCCCCCGCCAUAUGAGUUCUGUGGGGGGAUGGCGUACUGUGGGCCUCAGGUUGGAGUGGGGCUAGUGCCCCAAGGUGGCUUGGAGACCUCUCAGCCUGAGGGCGAAGCAGGAGCCGGGGUGGAGAGCAACUCCGAUGGGGCCUCCCCAGAGCCCUGCACCGUCCCCACUGGUGCCGUGAAGCUGGAGAAGGAGAAGCUGGAGCAAAACCCGGAGGAGGCAAGUGAGCUUCAAUGGGGUUGGGGUGUGGGGAGGUGGUCAUGACAGGGCAGCCUGAUGGGGAAGUGGUCAC